AGUAGGCAUGGAGAUCGUCGUUAAAUAUUACGAAGAAAAGGCUCCGCGGAAAAAAAGAACAAGCCUCUAUUGGAUGGUAAAAUCGAGUGUCAUUUAUGAGGUUUUCAGUUUUUAUGUGGCCGUCUGAACAGUUGAUCAAUCCGGACCCCAGCAGCUGCUAAAUACAGCAGCAGACUGACGCUAGCAGCAGCGGCUUAUUUCCACAACAACAACCGCGGGACUGAAACCAGCAGCACCAAGGCGGAUCUAGUUGGAUCCAAGAAAUAUAAACACCGAAUCUAGCGAGCGUAAAUUGGUUCAAAAGCGCUAGAGAAAACCAAGUCCUAACUGGAUACGGCAAUGAUGAAAACUAAAACAGUUUUGGGAUACACGAGAUGUUGGGACCGCCGAAAGACUACGGCCAUUCACGGGAAAUUGUUUUUCUUUAUCAUGCCACCAAAUUGCUUCUGUAGUGUAUCAUGGAGCUAUUUGGGUGCCUGUUGUGUACCAUGGGGUCAUUUCAAUUUAUUGAUUUUCUUAUUUAGGAAAAACUUCGAUAAACCGAGACAAGUUAAUAAUUGCUUUUCGAACAAUCCCAGCCAGGCAGGAAAUCCAGAUCGCAUUUUUCAUCAAGCUGGAUGCUACAUGCCUUAAUCGCACCGAAAUGUCUGUGCCAAGUUUUCGAGUUGUUGGUCGCUGUCAGUUCAAGAUGACCGAUAGGUGGCAAAUUAUUCGUUUUUUGGAAAUGCUGUUGCAAUAUCUUUGUCCAUCAUCCGCAAAUCCUUUUCUUCCAUCAUAGGUGAAUACCUACGUCGGAUUAUGGAACAAUGGCCAACGGUGGGGUGGGUCUGGAACAGUCUUCUGAUGAAGAUGAACCAAGCGACGUUACAAAUGUGGAUUCCACCACAAGCUCCUUGUUUUGAAGAAGCUCCGCAGGGCCGAAUAUUACGUUAAUCCACUAGGGAAGCCAAUCAUCGUAGAGAACCAUUCGCGAAACAUAAGUAUCGUCCCGGAGAUGGUCGUUUCAAUAGAGGUGAAACUUUCAACCAGGCCAUAAUAAGGCCAGGAAUGAUCGAAAAAUUUCCUCUCACGGGUCAAGUAUGGUCGUCGACAAGGUAUCGGUGCUUCCCACAGCAGAUGGAAUGGUGCGAUGUUAUAAGGUAUGUAAAUUAAAAUAACACAUACCGUGAAAACAAAAAUUUUAAACUAGAAAUUUCAAAAAAUUAAACAAUUAAUGGUG